AUUGAACGCUGGCGGCAUGCCUUACACAUGCAAGUCGAACGGCAGCGGACCUUCGGGUGCCGGCGAGUGGCGAACGGGUGAGUAAUGUAUUGGAACGUACCUUUCAGUGGGGGAUAACGUAGCGAAAGUUACGCUAAUACCGCAUAUUCUGUGAGCAGGAAAGCAGGGGAUCGCAAGACCUUGCGCUGAUUGAGCGGCCGAUAUCAGAUUAGCUAGUUGGUGAGGUAAAGGCUCACCAAGGCGACGAUCUGUAGCGGGUCUGAGAGGAUGAUCCGCCACACUGGGACUGAGACACGGUCCAGACUCCUACGGGAGGCAGCAGUGGGGAAUUUUGGACAAUGGGCGCAAGCCUGAUCCAGCCAUGCCGCGUGAGUGAAGAAGGCCUUCGGGUUGUAAAGCUCUUUCGGCCGGGAAGAAAUCGCAUGGGUUAAUACCCUGUGCGGAUGACGGUACCGGCAUAAGAAGCACCGGCUAACUACGUGCCAGCAGCAGCCGCCGUAA
rnacentral:rRNA from 1 species